UACGUAGGGGGCUAGCGUUGCUCGGAAUCACUGGGCGUAAAGCGCACGUAGGCGGGUCGUUAAGUCAGGGGUGAAAUCCUGGAGCUCAACUCCAGAACUGCCUUUGAUACUGAAGAUCUUGAGUUCGGGAGAGGUGAGUGGAACUGCGAGUGUAGAGGUGAAAUUCGUAGAUAUUCGCAAGAACACCAGUGGCGAAGGCGGCUCACUGGCCCGAUACUGACGCUGAGGCACGAAAGCGUGGGGAGCAAACAGGG
rnacentral:rRNA from 1 species